UGGGGAAUAUUGCACAAUGGGCGAAAGCCUGAUGCAGCGACGCCGCGUGAGGGAUGACGGCCUUCGGGUUGUAAACCUCUUUCAGCUCCGACGAAGGGUGACUGACGGUAGGAGCAAAAGAAGCGCCGGCCAACUACGUGCCAGCAGCCGCGGUAAGACGUAGGGCGCAAGCGUUGUCCGGAUUUAUUGGGCGUAAAGAGCUCGUAGGCGGCUUGUCGCGUCGACUGUGAAAACCCGCGGCUCAACCGUGUGGUCUGCAGUCGAUACGGGCAGGCUAGAGUUCGGUAGGGGAGACUGGAAUUCCUGGUGUAGCGGUGAAAUGCGCAGAUAUCAGGAGGAACACCGGUGGCGAAGGCGGGUCUCUGGGCCGAUACUGACGCUGAGGAGCGAAAGCGUGGGGAGCGAACAGG
rnacentral:rRNA from 1 species